CCAUUCUUGAGAGCUGCUCCACCGAAAGCUGAAAAGGACAAACUUCUGCCAGCUGAGAGAGAAGCAGAAGAUGAAGAGGAAGGAGAAGGAGAGGAGGGAGAAGGAAAAGAAAGAGCGGCAUGAGUCAACUAACCUGGGAUAGGCUCAUAAGAUGGAUUGUAUUUGCUGGCACAUAUGAAGAGGGAGAAUAUGGAAAAUGUGCAGUAUACCCCAGAGAGCUAUUAUUAUUUUAAUACGCAAUGCUAAAUUUGGUGUUGUAAUUAUUCUGUUGUAUAUCACCCUGAAAUUCACUACUAUGUAACAAUGCUGUUAUUAUAACAUCAGAUUUUGUGUUCUGUCCCGGCAAUGUCACUUUGUAUUUAUGGUAUUAGACUGUGACUACAACAUUAACCGCUGUCAUUAAACCUGUCAGUCACACUAAAAAGUAAUGUACAUGAGCAAAUAUUACAUGCAUAAAGAAUGUUUUUCCACCCCUCAUCAUAGACACUCAUAAUUCAAACAUUCUGUCAUAUGGAAUGCAACAAUUUCUGCCAUUCAAUGUGAUCAGAUCAAGUUAUCUGCACUUUUGUGCCGUAAAUGUACCAGAUCCAGGGUGAAGCAUCUCUAACCACA
rnacentral:lncRNA from 1 species